rnacentral:tRNA from 1 species
AAUAAAGUGCCUGACAAAAAGGAUUAUUCUGAUAGGAUAAAUAAUGUAAACUAUUACCUUUAUUA